GAGGGAGAUCGUGUGUCAGCCGUCUCGCGCCGCCACGAAAACACGACAGUCGUUCGUCAUGCCUUGGAUAUAACAACAAAUCCUCCACGGCACCCGCUUUAUAUAACGCAAGAAGGCAGCUGCAAGGACACGAGGAUGUGAAAGAGCCAGUGCAGCGCGACUUCACGUAGUGCAGAGGAGCCAAUGCCAAAAAAUCAAAAUACAUUGGCCUGUUAUUUGGACAAGAAAACUAGUAUGUGGGUAUAUUGGGUGUACCAUUUGACCAAAUGUCAACAAAAUCAAGAUACAGUAUGUUACACGAAGAUGAAAAUUCUCACGUGCUCCAGGCAGUCAUGUUAACAUGGUAUAUUUAUGUAAUGUCUCUGAUUGGAAAGUCAAAUCAAGUAUGCUCUCUGGAGACAAACACAUAGCAGCAAGUGUCAUUGAAAAGUUAAAAAUGUGUUUUAAGAAAGCUGAUUAGUUCUGAGAAGUGACUGCUUUUUGUCUUGCCUCUCAACAGAUAUAUCCAUGUGAUAAAAAAAUAGUGGUACAAUGAAAUUGCAUAUUUGCUUAGCGACAUGAUACAUACUUGCAAUGAGCACGGUGCCUGUGUUUACUAUAAAAAGCAACAGCCCAUGCUUGGUUAGGUUAGGCCCACUACAACAUGCAGGCAUGGGUGAUUGGCGCUUUUUUUAUUUCUGUGUCGUGAGGUUUAUUGACGUGCGUAUAGGUGCAGUGGCACGCAGUAUGGCUAGUACAAAAAAAGGGGGGGGGGGGCAGAUAUAUGUAGCUCACUGUACACGACACAGGGCAAAGGAAAUCCGUGUUCAGCAACUAUGUUAAAUGCCAUGUACGUAAAUUUUACAACGCUACUCGUUCAAAGCGCGCACAGGUGCAUAUUGAAGAAAAGUUUCCAGGGUAGAUAAUUUAGUUCGUAAUUUACACUAAUUUUGCUCUAACCACGAGACAUAAUAAUUUGAAUAUACUGCACGGAAAAACCUAGAGCGAAUUAAAUUGUGUGUCAGCUUCGUGUGUAUACAUAUAGUCUUUCCUAUGCAUUAGGUUUUUUGCGUAAUGCAUUAACAGUUGACAGCCUAUCUUAUGAUGUGUACUCUGUUUACAUUACAGUUGUUUAUUAGUUUACUCGUUUGUUUUGCGACUGAUGAAAUGCCGGCAUAUAUAUAUUUUCAACAUUUGACAUAACCCUGUAUGUGUUGCAGGGACAACCCAGGACGUGCAUUUCUCAGCACCCAGUCAACUGCCAAAAGUGACUCAAACACAGGCCACCAGUGGAACUCGGCUGUACCACUGCAGUGCUGCGGAAAUUGCCUUCACCAGCGGCUUUGCAACAGCUGUUUCGCAGCAUGUCGGAGACAAUGCCUACGAAAUUAUUGGCCCUGAUCACGAGAACCCUCAAGGGGCAAACAACAUCUCUGUUGCAGAAGUGAGCCCGAUACCACUUGGAAGUUACCAUGACAGAUGACACGGCAGCAAUAGAUACAGAGACUGCCAUGUCUACUGCAGCUGCAACAGUGUACGAGGCAAGCAGCAGCGCGUCAGCAUCAGCAGCAGUGUCAGAAGGAACCACACUAGGCCUGGUAGAGCAACAUCUGUGCUAUCACUGGCUUUUUUUGUAGUGGAUACAACUCAUUUGCUCAACAUACAAAAGCUUUUCACCACGACUGUGAGCCAGUGUUAUUGUGCAGCAAGUGCAAGACUAAGUUAGGUGUUAUAACACAGUACAAGCAUCACUUUAAUAUAUGCAAAUGCAAACAUAUUACAGUUGUUGCCUCCCCAGCCAGCCCACAUAGUGACAACAAUGUGGAACACAUGGUGGGACACACCUCUCCCCCAUUACAAGAUAGUAGAGACUGUCAGUGUUGUUGCUAGAUUGACUGGUCUUUGUAGGCAACUAGAAGGACAACACAGGUGUCAUAAGAUUGUUGUUGAUGUUGUUGUUGAAGAGGUAAAAAAGAAGUUUGAUGCAGCUGAAGUGCCAACUGAUAUUGAGCAAAUCAAAAGCAACCACCUGAGAAAGCAACACUAUCGAAAUUUGGGUAUCUAUGUGCCGCCAACUCUGGUGAGAAUGGCAUAGGACAGAAGUGUGAUGAAAAUCACACAGACACUGCUGUUGCAUCACUGGCCACAGUGAGCAGCGACUUGUAGGGCAAGAGAGUCAACUGAAACUAACAUUAUGAUAUAGUGUCAUGCUCCCAUGUGACCACUUUUCAAGUUAUUUUGCAAGAUACAGCUCAACCUCCAGAAACGAGACUGCAACUUGUCUGUAAAAAAGCUUUCACAAAAAAUUAUUCAUAACACUAUUAACAUAGCAGUAUCUUUUUUUUGUGUCGGUUCGAGGUUCCCGGCUGUCCAUUAAUGCAAAAAUUCAGGAAAAAAAGAACAUGUGUCGUACUUACACCUUUUUAACAAGUACGAGGGGGACAUAACUUUUCUAGUCAUGCAUCUUCAUCAUACUAUCAAGUUUUUAAAUGCCUUUUAUAAUUAUUAUUACCAGUUAUAUCUGAGUGCAUUGUAUGCAUGUAGCAGGUGUACAAUCAGGUCAGUUGGAUCAGAUGCCUUAUCUGCAAGCGAGCCCUAUAUUCAAGAAAUUUGAAUUAAAAUAGUUACGUUAGAGACGCAGUCUUUCAGCACUUUAUUGCCUGUGGUUUAAGCAUUGCUCAAUACUUUUGUGGGUGGCGAUUUCAACCGGCACAGCACUGCGCUUUGCCACAGUCACAUUUGUCUUCAAAGCGGUGUUUACCAUUUGUGUUGAUCUGUUUGUGUAUGCAUAGAGCAAGUUUUUAAUUUAUAUUUUUCUGCAUUCUUGUGCUUGCACUAAGCUUGUAUAAGGCAGUUACAAAAUGUGCGUCACUAUAACGAACUGUUCUGUUGAGCUUACACUUGCAAAUAAUCGUGUUCAGAUGGCCGCACUUCUAUGCGGGUGCACCGCUAGCUUUGUGUAUGUUCUCAUGUUUGUAUAAAGCUUAUAUAAGCUAGUUAGAAAAUGUAUGUCACUAAGCAUUGUGAUAUUCUUUAAAGAACUGCUUGGUUGGUUUUACACUUGUGAAUUAGUAUUGAGGCGGUGGUAUUCCCAUGUAUGCCCACUGCUAGCUUUCUGUGUCCUCACGUGUUUGUAUUAAGUUUCUACAAGGGAGUUACAGCAUGUACGUCACUAAGCGCUGUGAUAUUUUUUAAAGAACUGCGUUGUUGGUUUUACACCUGUGAGUUAUAGUACUCGGGUGGCACUAGUCAUGUGUAGGCACACAGGGACCAUUUGUAUAUAUUAUGCUCAUGUAAAGCAGGUACAAAGUGUAUGUCACUGAUUACUGUGAUAUUUGUUGAAUUGCUGUGAUGGUUUUUCACAUGUGAAUAAUAGUGGUCAAUACACAGUACUUGCGGUGUAUAGUUGAAUUUAUACACUGCCAAGACAUGGGCUGUAUACGUACCAAAAGAAAUGUAUGUCAUUAUAUUGUUGUGAUUAUUACUGUUUGGAUUUUAUUAAACUGUAAUAAAAUUGUUU